UACGAGGGGGGCUAGCGUUGCUCGGAAUUACUGGGCGUAAAGCGCACGUAGGCGGCUUUCUAAGUCGGGGGUGAAAUCCUGGAGCUCAACUCCAGAACUGCCUUCGAUACUGGAGAGCUCGAGUCCGGGAGAGGUGAGUGGAACUGCGAGUGUAGAGGUGAAAUUCGUAGAUAUUCGCAAGAACACCAGUGGCGAAGGCGGCUCACUGGCCCGGUACUGACGCUGAGGUGCGAAAGCGUGGGGAGCAAACAGG
rnacentral:rRNA from 1 species